AAGCACUUUCUCUAAAACAUCAAAGCUUAUAUUAAAAAUACCAGGAAAAGAGGGAGUUCUCAUCACAGCACAGGGAAUCUCAAGUGUCCUCCUGACAGAAAUAACUAACUUGCUCUUUGCAACAGGAAGAGAGCUGAACAACUCCACCUCACUCCAUCCAUUACCUCAUCCCAACUCUUAGUCUAGCCUACAGCAUCUGAGUUCUGGGAAUGGGCUCAGGCAGAAAAUAAGUUAAAGAGUUCAGGCAAUGUCAGCUCUUUAAGAUAGGUAGCAAGGGAACUAAAAAUAUUUCCAAAGCGAGAAAAUCUUCCUGGCACCUUAUUCUUGCUCAGCUUUGUCAAAGCUCUCCACAGGCAGCAGUGAAGCACAGCGCAACCCCCGCGUAAUGGCGCACUGUGCGGUGGGGGAGGCCAACGCGAGCAGCAGCCCAAGCCGUGGACAGGCAAAAGGGAGGCAGCGCAGGAGGAGAGCGAGCAUGUGGAGCUGCAAGGAGAGUUCUUGCUUGACUCAAACACAGCCGCGCAAGACUUUAGCCACGCAGCACUUGUCUGCAGGGGGAACACAGUUCUGGUCUGAUGGCAGAAGCAGCCUGUUUAUGUGACACAAGGCCUUACACACUGUACUGGGUAGUGCUACGAGUGACAGGGGCAGUAGUUUACUCACCCUUCUUGCAACCCUCAUGAAAUCAUCGGCUUGAAGUUCUGCUGCUUUUAGUGUUGCUUCUGAAUCUAUUCCCAUCACCAGUGUACCCACAAGUCGCAGCAGGUUGGAAGAUGAAAGCCAUUCAUUGCUCAUGCUCCGAGAGAGGUUCGUUUUCACCGCUGAAGAGGAUCACUGCAGAGACAUUAACCUGGAAAGGAAGCGCAUACAUGUGUGGGAUAAGAAGGGCAGAAUAUAUCGCUCAACACACAGUCAUAGGAGCGCAGAGGCUCUUUCUCCUGCUCACAGCAGGCCAUUUCCUCACAGCAUUGAUGCAGAACAGAGAGAGUGAUCGGAAAUGGCUGAAACGGGAGGCAGUGGCCCUGCUCAGGAGAGAAAGCGGGUGAUCUCGGAGUCUGUCAGAAAGCACCUGCUGUACAGAAAUACUGCAGGAGAAUGGUGUGGCCAGGUGCUGCUCAAGGGUCUCAGAAGAUCUGAAGAGAGAGGUCAGAGUUUCCACUUUGAUUGAAAAUUUCUUCUGUUUUAGAGGAGGAAGAGAGGAAAAAUCGGGGAUCUUUGGAACUGGAGACCAGACAGGCAAGGAUUUUGAAAAAAAUACAUAGUGGUUAGACACAUGAUUCAGGAAGAAAAUGUGGAACAACAAUUCUGACGGGGAAAGGAAGAUGGGGAAGUGUGUUCAGGUAGUAUGAGAAUGUAAGACAGAUGGAUAAGAAAAAGGGAAAAGUAGGAAAAGCCGGUAUUACUUUUUCCAAAAAAAGCAAAACGUCUGGUGAAAAAGUUUAGAACUUCUAAAUAUAUCCCAUAUUGUAAGGAGUCCCCGCAACCUUCAGAUAAAUUGCAUGGAUUGCAUUUGAGAUUAGGAGGGGAAAAGUUAAUAGGAUGAUUUUUUUUUUUUUCCCUGUUACGAUGUGUUUCACAAUUCACAAUUUAAGAAUGCAUGGCCCAAUCAGAGUAUGUGCAAAUGUCAUGCCAUAUUUUCUUCUGGUUUGCUUUUCCUGUGACAUACAAAAUGUCUGCAGUCAGAGUGCCCAGUAUUUCUCCUGAUCUGGCCUCUAAGGUCUAAGUUCUUCCAGGAACAAACCAUUCAUAAUGAGCAGGCCCAUCACCAAUACACAAGGAACAAACCUUUCACCCUUGCUAUAUGCAACCACACACAUAGUUAGUUUUUAACAUAUAUUCAGGUCAUCUUUAAACCAGUAUUCUGCAAUGGAAAAUAAUUAAAAUUCAGAGCAACAUCAAAGGGUUCAGAAUGUGUUUAAUUGAAACAUUUUAGAAAAGCUGCCAACUUUCUGAGAGAUGAAUUGCCAUACGUGUAUUCCUAUGGGAAAUUAUUAAAUUAAUUGAAAAAGCUAUAAUAUGACUGAUAGCACUUACUAUCGCAAUAAAUGAGCAUCACAGAGUCAGCUGUUAAUCAGGAUUAGAGAUUAAAUGGGGACGGGCUGGUAAGUGUAGGUUCUUUUCACCUACAGCAGUUCUGUGAAGGAAGCCUCUUUGUUUCAACCUUGAACAUUAUGCAACCAGUCCUAGACAAGUUUCCUGUCGAACAGCUUGGCUGAAUGCAGAAAUCAAGGUCUACAAAUAUCUGUGACAAGGAAAUUCAUACACUUUUUCUACUGCACGCAAUGCUAGUUCCUUUUCGCCUGUGGACAGACUACAGGAUCAGCUCUUUGGCCUGCUUCCUGCAACAAAAUAGGCUAAAGCCAAUGACUGCAGAAAAGAAAUGUCAGAUGCUUGUGUAAGACAUUAUUCAUUACUAUGAUGUAAUAAUUUCUGAAUAACCAAGGCUAGUACAGAGAAAAUAAAAGGAAUCCACAGGAAGACUGAUAAGUGGUUUUAUAAGAACUAAAAAAAGCUGGUAUGCCAUUAUUCUGUAGAAAUCCUUAUUGUAGCUGAACCAGCAUGUUUGGUUUUUUUGUGGAUUUACUUGCUGUACUGGUG